rnacentral:rRNA from 1 species
GACGAACGCUGGCGGCGUGCUUAACACAUGCAAGUCGAACGCUGAAGCUUAUCUGUUGUUGGGUGGAUGAGUGGCGAUCGUGUGAGUAACACGUGUGUAACCUGCCUCCUGCGUGGGGAUAUCGCUCGGAAACGGGUGCUAAUACUGGAUAUUCACUGUGGUGCGCAUGGGGGUUGGUGGAAAGGGGUGUCUUUGUUUGUGAUGGGGUCGGGGCCUAUCAGCUUGUUGGUGGGGUGGUGGCCUACCAAGGCUUUGACGGGUAGCCGGCCUGAGAGGGUGACCGGUCACAUUGGGACUGAGAUACGGCCCAGACUCCCACGGGAGGCACACAUGGGGAAUAUUGCACAAUGGGCGCAAGCCUGAUGCAGCGACGCAGCGUGAGGAAUGGAGGCCUUCGGGUUGUGAACCUCUUUCGCUCAAAAAACAGCCGCAACAAUGGUUGUGGUGAGGGUAGUGGGUAAAGAAGCGCCGGCUAACUACGUG